CUCCCCAAAAAUUCCAACUCCCCCCUCUCCCACGAAAAGAAAAAGAGGGUUAACUAUGGCGGACAACUUCCAGAAGCAGCCCCUCUGCUCGCUCGUUUCCGACGUCGACAACCACCAUGGCGGCGACCCUCCCCGCCUUCCUAAUUGUUCCACCUGAUUGUUCCCAUCCGAUCUCUUGCGUUAUUUCGGUGGAUGAAGGAAUCGAUUUCCCCUUCGUAUUUUGAGUCCGAUUGCAGCUACCGCGACGAUUCCGAUCUGUGCUGAAUUGAUGGAUUUCAUGGGCGAAACUAAGGCGAUGGGGAAGAAUGGUAUCGGCCUAUGCGUCGUGCUUCGAGAAGCAGAAGGAAGUUCGAUGAAACCGAAGCCGAGAGUAUUACGAUCGUGGGGAUUCACAAGUCCGAGAUGGCCAAACUCGUGAUUUUGAACCCCUGACAAAGGGGGGGACCGCCACCUCGGCGAUACCGCUUUACUAUUUCGACCACCACCAGGAUGCAGGAUGCAGGAUGCAGGAUGCAGGAUGCCCAUCCAACUGCAG